AGAGCACAUUACUCUUGACGCCAGAUUGCAGUGGUAUCCCAGUCGCAAAUCACCGCCUCUAGUAUAUAAUAUUUACAGUACAUGCAGUCGUCAAGUUAUGAACAAGAUGGGUUCUGUAGGUUUGCCCUUAAGUUGAAUUUAUAUGUAAAUUGGAACAUUUACAGGGUCAUUGGAAUGCUCCAUUAGCAUGCAGGCCACACAAAAGAACGAGGAAAAGAAAAGGCCUUGGGAAUCACAUGUACUCAUGGAUCAGACUUCGUUCACCCAUGCUCUGAGU
rnacentral:lncRNA from 11 species